GAGACAGGGAGGAGGUCAACCAGGAAAUGACCAUGUUAUUACAUCUAUCCCACAGUCUCUGUUGAGCCACAUUAGUGGUAGGUCGAGGACAUGAACCAUCACCAAAAAUGAUUUUGUUUUUAGUAGAUAAAGCAACAAUCAUCUUACGCCUCCAACCCCCAUAACAACAACCCGAGAAGGGAGUGGGAACAAGAGAGACCCUAGGGACAUCAGAGGAAUAUACAAAAAGGGGGCUAUUAGAGUCUACCGAGGAGGAGGUACCAACAUUCGUGUUAGAAUCCAUAAUCAAUAAACCGGCUUAAAAAAAAUAGUUUCAACAAGCAGAGUAUAACCAAGCUAGAUACUCAUACACAAAACCAGAUACUCACAUACGGAGUCAGAGAAUCACACACAAAGCAUACAAUGCUCAAGAUAAGGACAGAGUUACCCUCCUUCUUCGCGACCGGAGAAGAUCGGCCUUCAAUCAAC
rnacentral:lncRNA from 1 species